rnacentral:rRNA from 1 species
UCAGGACGAACGCUGGCGGCGCGCCUAACACAUGCAAGUCGAACGGAGCUUAAAGAGCUUGCUUUUUAAGCUUAGUGGCGAACGGGUGAGUAACGCGUGAGUAACCUGCCCUAGAGUGGGGGACAACAGUUGGAAACGACUGCUAAUACCGCAUAAGCCCACGGUACCGCAUGGUACUGAGGGAAAAGGAUUUAUUCGCUUUAGGAUGGACUCGCGUCCAAUUAGCUAGUUGGUGAGGUAACGGCCCACCAAGGCGACGAUUGGUAGCCGGACUGAGAGGUCGAACGGCCACAUUGGGACUGAGACACGGCCCAGACUCCUACGGGAGGCAGCAGUGGGGGAUAUUGCACAAUGGGGGAAACCCUGAUGCAGCGACGCCGCGUGGAGGAAGAAGGUUUUCGGAUUGUAAACUCCUGUCGUUAGGGACGAUAAUGACGGUACCUAACAAGAAAGCACCGGCUAACUACGUGCCAGCAGCCGCGGUAAAACGUAGGGUGCAAGCGUUGUCCGGAAUUACUGGGUGUAAAGGGAGCGCAGGCGGGAAGACAAGUUGGAAGUGAAAACCAUGGGCUCAACCCAUGAAUUGCUUUCAAAACUGUUUUUCUUGAGUAGUGCAGAGGUAGAUGGAAUUCCCGGUGUAGCGGUGGAAUGCGUAGAUAUCGGGAGGAACACCAGUGGCGAAGGCGGUCUACUGGGCACCAACUGACGCUGAGGCUCGAAAGCAUGGGUAGCAAACAGGAUUAGAUACCCUGGUAGUCCAUGCCGUAAACGAUGAUUACUAGGUGUUGGGGGAUUGACCCCUUCAGUGCCGCAGUUAACACAAUAAGUAAUCCACCUGGGGAGUACGACCGCAAGGUUGAAACUCAAAGGAAUUGACGG